rnacentral:rRNA from 1 species
UACGGGGGGAGCAAGCGUUGUUCGGAUUUACUGGGCGUAAAGGGCGCGUAGGCGGCCACCGCAAGUCAAUUGUGAAAUCUCCGGGCUUAACUCGGAAAGGUCAACUGAUACUGCGGGGCUAGAGUGCGGAAGGGGCAACUGGAAUUCUCGGUGUAGCGGUGAAAUGCGUAGAUAUCGGGAGGAACACCAAUGGCGAAAGCAGGUACCUGGACUAUUACUGACACUCAGCUGCGAAAGCUAGGGGAGCAAACAGG